UGAAUUAUGAGUUUGAUCCUGGCUCAGAAUGAACGCGAGUCGGUGCGCUUAACACAUGCAAGUUUAUGGGUUAUUCCAUAGCGUACGGGUGAGUAAUAUAUAAAAAACUUACCUUUAGAUAGAGGUUAAUUUAAAGAAAUUUAUUCUAAUCCUCUAUAUACAUAUUUGUUUAAAAAGGUUAAUACCGUCUAAAGAUAGUUUUAUAUCUGAUUAACUUGUUGGUAAGAAUAAUAGCUUACAAAGGUGAUUAUCAGUAGCCAGCCUGAGAGGGUGAUCGGCCACAUUGGGAUUGAAAUACGGCCCAAACUUCUACGGAAGGCAGCAGUGGGGAAUAAUCUGCAAUAGGCGCAAGCCUGACAGUGCGACACCGCGUGAAGGAUGAAAGUUGUAAUAAAUUGUAAACUUCUUUGUUCAAGUAAGGAUUAAAGACCUCUUGAAAAAAACAAGCAUCGGCUAACUUCGUGCCAGCAGCCGCGGUAAUACGAGGGAUGCAAGCGUUAUUCGGAAUUAUUGGGCGUAAAGGGUCUGUAGAUGGUUUAUUAUGUCUAUUUAAAAAUAUAUAUGUAAAACAUAUUAAAUAAAAUAGUUACAAUUAAACUAGAGAAAAAUUGGAAUAAAAGGAAUUUUUUAAGGAGCGGUAAAAUGUGUUGAUAUAAAAAAGAACACCAAAAGCGAAAGCGUUUUAUUAAAUUUUUUCUGACAUUGAGAGACGAAAGCUAAGGGAGCAAAUGGGAUUAGAUACCCCAGUAGUCUUAGCUGUAAACUAUGGGUACUAAAUAUUAAGUUUUACUUAGUAUUAUAGCUAACGCGUUAAGUAUCCCGCCUGAGAAGUAUACUCGCAAGAGUGAAACUUAAAGGAAUUGACGGGGGCUCGCACAAGCGGUGGAGCAUGUGGUUUAAUUCGAUGCAACACGAAAAACCUUAUCUAAGUUUGACAUUUUUAUUAUAUUAUAUAUAAAAAAUAUAUAAAUUAAAUUUAAACAAGUGGUGCAUGGCUGUCGUCAGCUCGUGUCGUGAGGUGUUGGGUUAAGUCCCAUAACGAGCGUAACCCCUUUUUAUAUAUUUUCAAUAUAUAAAUAUUAUUAUUAAUAUAUAUUUAAAUUAAUAAAAGAAAUAGGGAUGACGUCAAGUCAUCAUGCCCUUUAUACUUAGAGCUACACACGUGCUACAAUGGUUAAAUCAAUGUUUAUUUAAAUGUUUAUUUAAAUUUUUUUAUGUGAAUGGAAAAUUAUUAAAUUUAAUCUUAAUUCGGAUUGUAAACUGAAAUUUGUUUACAUGAAGCUGGAAUCGCUAGUAAUCGCCGAUUAGUAAUGUGCGGCGGUGAAUACGUUACCGAGCCUUGUACACACCGCCCGUCACACCAUGGAAAUUGAUUUUUUUUGAAAUUUUUGUUUUAAAAUGAUUAUAAAAUUAGUAACUAGGGUGAAGUCGUAACAAGGUAGCUGUACCGGAAGGUGUAGCUGGAAUAUUAACAUA
rnacentral:rRNA from 1 species